GAAAGUUACCGAAUAUUUAAAAAAAACAAAAUUUUUAUCUAUGAAGAGAGUAUUUUUAUUCUUAAAAUUUCUUCGGAAAAUUCCAUCAGGUGGAUAUAUCCAAAUUUCGAACAAGAAAACAAAUGUUGCUAAUAAUAACCCAAUGACAACGACUUUAAAAAUAAAACCCAUGUCAUCCAUAGUCAAAGGGCGAUAUUGAGUAGGAUCACGAGGUCUAGGUUUAAAGAUUACUUUUUGAAUAACGUAAUUAUUGAUCCCACUUUCAAAGAGUGUUAAUAACAAUCUUUUAACCCUGGGGAAAAUUGGCCAAUUGCGGCGUGCGUAGUAUGAAUGAAACAGCUCUGGAAUCAGAGUUUUUUUGGGCAUAUGGCAGUGGGCAUAUCCAACAAGCGCAGUGUAGCCGAGGUACAACUCUUCCUCGACGUAAGCCUCGUUAGUUUUCAGUGAAGUACAAUCCAUUGAUUUUUUGACAACCUGAACGUUAGUAUGAUUAUUCUUUCUCAAAACUUCCUCUAUCCAGAGGGUGGUGAACACAGUCAUGUUCAAUUUCUUCAUUUCGGAAAGAGUCUCAAGAUUGCGAAGGCUUUUUUCAGCGGUGAAGAUCUUCGCUAAAUUUCCCUGGACUACUGCGUUGAUUAUCAUGAAGACGAUGAGGAUGCUGCCGAAGAAAAGUCUUCCUCGGCCGGUUGUCGGCAAGGUAGGCAGCGAACGGUGAAUCCGAAAAUGCUGGUAAGCAAAAAGAGGAUUGCGAUGCUCAGAGGAAGAAAUGAGAAGAGUUUCUGGGUGCUGCUGAGAUAUCCGCGGUGAGGAGUUACCGCUGUGAUUCCCGUCUGCAGGAGAAAGUGCCCGAAGUCAACUUCCAGGCCUGGCUCGCGGAUGAACAGAUUCUUUGUUAGAAAUGGAGAAGAAACUUCAGUCCAGUUGUACUUGUCGUAAACUUGAUUUUAAGUCUAAAGAGGUGGAGAAGAUCUUUUGCCGAGGAAUAGAAAAAAGAUUAAGAUGAUGGAGAGGAUUUUGGCUGUCGAACGUCAAAGGAUCAUCAGAUGAUCUCCGAGUGUGAGUUUCAUAUCUCUACGGCAUAUCCAAUCGCAGAGAAUAGCCGUGGCGAGAAUUGAAUGGGAAUAGAGAAAUGCAAGUAAAAGGGUGAUCAUGACUGC